rnacentral:lncRNA from 1 species
CAUCAUGGAUAAGCUACCUUGCCCUUAUCCAUCCCUGAAAUGCUGUCUGAAGCACGGCAUUCCACCAUUCGGCCAAUGAAGCAUCAGAAUCUCAACUGCACAACACAGAUGCUGGAGUGGUGGACCAGCAGAGACGCAGUUAAGAAGCAGCUGAGUAACUUAUGCUGUUCAACCAUAGAUAUCUUUCAACUUGGGGAGUCAUUGAUGGAAGAAGGAUAGAACCCAAGAUGGUGCCAUUGAACAGAUACCCAUAGAAAGCCAGUGAGAUCCUGAUCCUGACCCCACUGAAGAAGAAAGCUUUGGAUCUGGUCCUAGUAUUUUGUGAGCUAAUGUCCUAAUGGA